AUUGAACGCUGGCGGCAUGCUUUACACAUGCAAGUCGAGCGGUAACAGGCCUUCGGGUGCUGACGAGUGGCGCACGGGUGAGUAAUGCAUCGGAACGUACCCAGAGGUGGGGGAUAACGCAGCGAAAGCUGUGCUAAUACCGCAUGUGAUCUGAGGAUGAAAGCGGGGGACCGAGCAGCAAUGUUUGGCCUCGCGCCUUUGGAGCGGCCGAUGUCGGAUUAGCUAGUUGGUGGGGUAAAGGCCUACCAAGGCGACGAUCCGUAGCUGGUCUGAGAGGACAACCAGCCACACUGGGACUGAGACACGGCCCAGACUCCUACGGGAGGCAGCAGUGGGGAAUUUUGGACAAUGGGCGCAAGCCUGAUCCAGCAAUGCCGCGUGCGGGAAGAAGGCCUUCGGGUUGUAAACCGCUUUUGGCAGGAACGAAACGGUGUCCGCUAAUACCGGGCGCUAAUGACGGUACCUGCAGAAUAAGCACCGGCUAACUACGUG
rnacentral:rRNA from 1 species